CCUAACUCCACAUAUAGUUUAAAUUUUUCCCAUCCA
rnacentral:sRNA from 1 species